UACAGACGGUGCGAGCGUUAUUCAGCUUAAAUGGGUGUAAAGGGUAUGUAGGCGGUGUAUUCUGUAAAGUAGAAAUCCUGGGGUCAUAACCGUAGGAGGUACUUGAUUAUCGGAAUUCACUUGGAGUGAAAAUCGGGGUAAAACUAAUUUCUACAGUAAGCGUUAAAAUGCUGAGAUCGUAGAAGGAGGGCCGGCGGUGAAGACGUUUUUCUAGAUUCUACUGACGCUGAGGUACGGAGGUUUGGGGAGCAAAUCGG
rnacentral:rRNA from 1 species